CUACGGGCCGCUGCAGUGGGGAAUAUUGCACAAUGGGGGAAACCCUGAUGCAGCAACACCGCGUGGAGGAUGACACUUUUCGGAGCGUAAACUCCUUUUAUAUAGGAAGAUAAUGACGGUACUAUAUGAAUAAGCACCGGCUAACUCCGUGCCAGCAGCCGCGGUAAUACGGAGGGUGCAAGCGUUACUCGGAAUCACUGGGCGUAAAGAGCGUGUAGGCGGGUUAAUAAGUCAGAAGUGAAAUCCAAUGGCUCAACCAUUGAACUGCUUUUGAAACUGUUAACCUAGAAUAUGGGAGAGGUAGAUGGAAUUUCUGGUGUAGGGGUAAAAUCCGUAGAGAUCAGAAGGAAUACCGAUUGCGAAGGCGAUCUACUGGAACAUUAUUGACGCUGAGACGCGAAAGCGUGGGGAGCAAACAGGAUUAGAUACCCGGGUAGUC
rnacentral:rRNA from 1 species